rnacentral:rRNA from 1 species
CCAUUAAAUCCAAUUAAGGACAAUCAGCCUUUUGCAUAAUGAUUUAUCAAUAUCUUACACCACUAGGCUCUUCCACGAAUUUGUAUUGAUCUGCUUUUAGUUUUAUCCGAAGUGUCACAUAACUUAGCCUAAAUUAGAAGCAGCGGCAACAUACCUCACGCAUACAAAAAUAUCUUGCUGCCAAAUUUAAAAUUAACUUAACCCCCAAUCACCCUUGGCUAUUUAUACCUAUAAGAUACUACUCUUAUAUUUACACUCUUAACCAAACAUCUUUUAUCCUCCAUUCAUAGGCAUAAUAUUCGCCAUACUCUUUAUAGUUAAAUAUUUUUAUAUCAAAAUUCUGUGCCCCCUUUCUGGCUAUCUAGACCCCUACUAUCUUUAAAAAAUAUGAUAAAAUUAAUAUUAAACACAACCCUACUAAAGGAACUAGGCAAACCAUAAGGAAAACUGUUUACCAAAAACAUAGCUUUAAGCCCUUAUUUAAAGUGCUGCCUGCCAUUACCGGCCGCGGUAUUCUGACCGUGCUAAGGUAGCAUAAUCACUCGCCUUUUAAUUGAAGGCUCGUAUGAACGGCUCUUUUUCUUUAUUCUGUCUCUAGUGGGGCAUAAUAACAUCCUAAACGAAUGAAUUAGUUCGUAUCUUUUAAAAAGACGAAAAGACCCUAAGACCUGGAUUUUAGAGUAAUUUUACACAAAUCUUUGUUGGGGCGACACCAGAAGAAACCCUUCUUUUACAUUAAAGCUUGUCCUUAUACAUGACCCUCUGCCGAGCCUUAAGCACAGUUUCCUUAGGGGUAACAGGCUAAUGGAAUUAUAAAGCCCAAUUAAUUAAUUCCGUUUGGCACCUCGAUGUUGGCUUGGAGCACCCUCAUAAAGCACCUCUGUUGACGGGAAGUUUGUUCAACUUUUAAUCCUCCACGUGAGCUGAGUUCAGACCGGCGUAAGCCAGGUUAGUUUUUAUCUUUUAUAUUAAUAUUGUGCUUAGUACGAAAGGAUUAGCAUGAUGGCUAAUACCCGCCACCCCUUAUUGCCCUCUCUCCCUU